GGCCGGUUAGCUCAAUCGGUUGAGCGUGGCACUAACAAUGUCAAGGUUGUGGGUUCGAUUCCCGUUUGGUCCC
rfam:Apaloderma vittatum contig2499, whole genome shotgun sequence.